CCUAACCGUGCGAAGGUAGCAUAAUCAUUUGUUCUUUAAAUGAGGACUUGUAUCAACGGCACCACGAGGGUUAGACUGUCUCCUUUUUCAUAUCAGUAAAACUAAUCUUCCCGUGAAGAAGCGGGAAUAAUUUUAUAAGACGAGAAGACCCCAUGGAGCUUUAAACCCAACUACACCCCCUCUUAAUUUUACUUCUUAACAUUUAGGGUCCUGUAUGUUCUGGUUUUAGGUUGGGGUGACCACGGAGCAUAAACUAGCCUCCGUAAUGAAUUGACCUCCUCUUUAUCCGAGACCUACACCUCUAAGAAUUAGCAUUCUAACAUAAAAUGAUCCGAUAUUCGAUCAACGAACCAAGUUACCCUGGGGAUAACAGCGCAAUCUACUUCAAGAGCCCCUAUCGACAAGUGGGUUUACGACCUCGAUGUUGGAUCAGGGUAUCCCAGCGGUGCAGCAGCUGCUAAAGGUUCGUUUGUUCAACGAUUAAAACCCU
rnacentral:rRNA from 1 species